CAAGACAUAGUUCAAAGUAGAACACCUUUUUUACACGGAGGAAGCACUCGUUCAAUUCGAGUUGUCUUGA
rnacentral:tRNA from 1 species